rnacentral:rRNA from 1 species
GACGAACGCUGGCGGCGUGCCUAAUACAUGCAAGUCGAACGAUAACAGCCGGUGCUUGCCUUGGUAAUUCUAAAGGGGAACGGGAUAGUACGAAGCGGGCAACGUGCCCAUCAGUAACGGAUCACAUUCGGAACUGGAUGCUCAAAUCGCCUAGGUCUUCGAACCGCGUGGCUUGCAGCGGUAAAGGGCCGCGCGCUUCUGCUGCUGCCUGGGCCGGCGUUGCAUUAGCUAGUUGGUGAGGUCAAGGAUCACCAAGGCCAUGAUGCAUAGCCGACCUGAGAGGGUGAUCGGCCACAUUGGGACUGAGACACGGCCCAGACUCCUACGGGAGGCAGCAGUAGGGAAUCUUCGACAAUGGACGCAAGUCUGACGGAGCAAUGCCGCGUGAGUGAAGAAGGCUUUCGGAUCGUAAAACGCUUUUGGUAGAGAAGAAUAAGUGCCAGAGUAUCCGUGACCGCCUUGACGGUAUCUAACCAGAAAGCAACGGCUAACUACGUG